rnacentral:snRNA from 1 species
UAAAAGGGUUGGUUGGCUAAAUAUGCCACGCUAGCUCUCGUUCAGCUAGUGCCGUAUGGAUAUCGAGACAUAUGGCCGACAUAAUUUGUGGAAAUCAAAUAGGGUUGGCCCGCUUUGGCCGACCCUCUA